rnacentral:lncRNA from 1 species
CCCUCACACACAGCUUCCUCACAUGCACAUAGCACCCUCAUGCAAACACAGCACCCACUCACACACAGCACACACACACUGCACCCAUCACACACACAGCAACCUUACCCACAUAGCACCCUCACGCAAACACAGCACCCAUCACUCACACACACACUGCACCCCUCUCUCACACACACUACACCCCUUACACACACACACAGAGAAACCUCACACACACUGCGCAAUAUGCUUU